rnacentral:lncRNA from 1 species
CGUAAUAAAAGCCACAGAGGGAUUUGUGAGACCAUUACGUGAAGGUGAAGAGGUGUUAAAAAGUAGGUUAGUCAUCUCUGUUGGCAAAAAAGAGCAAAAAGCUACUGCAGUGCAUGUACAAGCGCUUGUACUCAGAACCUCAGGUUUGAACAGCCAGCAUCCUUAUUUAAUUCAACUAAUUUCAAAUUCAUUGGGUUGAUUUAUCUAAGGAUUUUGGUUCACGGCUUGUGAAUAAGCAGUCUUUGGAUUGUCAAUGCCCAGCUGGUCAAUCACAAAAAUGUAAACACAUUGUUGCAAUAAUCAUGCUGUAUCUGUCCAGAGUUGAUGAAUCAGAACUAGACGAUCUUAGUUGCACUGACAUUGAGCAACAAUAGGGAUCAUUAAAAUCUGCUACUCUAAAGGAAUAUGAAGCAAAACGUAUUUCUGAGCUGUGCCAUUUAAAAUUGCAGAAAGAUGUGUAUGUGUCAAAACUACCAGAAGUUACAAAAGAGAUGGAGCAAAGAUGGUGGGUGUAAUCGACUGACAAAUUGUAAGCGUACUGCAGAUACUGAAUAAUGCUGGAUCUUUGUUCAUAAUAUCAAUAAAUUGCUGACCUUUUUUUUAAGUAAUGAAAAAAUAAAUAAAUAAAAAGUCAGCAAUUAUAUUAUAUGGAUGCAGACUGUAUUGGCAAUUUACUACCGUAUUGGCAUUAAUAUGUUUAAAACAUUCAUCAUUCAGAAUUAAUUUACUAUUAUUGCAAAAUAUUUUACAAAAAUUUAAUAAUAAUACAAUAAAAUACUCAAGUUGUUUCUUUAAAAAUGUUAUCUGAACCAUUUCUAUUUGCAAGUUUCUGUUAUGACUUUUUUAUUAAAAAACCUUUUUAAAUUUUUAUUAAUUGUACAUUUAAAACAACAUUAUAUGAUAAAAGUAAGAUUUUAUUCCAGAAAAGCUGCAAAAAAUCAAGAUCGUGAUUUUAUGUCGGUCUUAACUCUUUGUUAGAUUUUUGUAAUCUGACAAAAAUGACAGCUGACAAUAUGUCAUCAAAUGAGAAAAAAGUGAUAGUGUAUUUUUAAUUUUUUUUUAUUAUAUAAUAGGUGCAGUACAGAGCGAAUAUUCUAUAUUUAUCAGUAAUUUACAUAAAGGAUUUAAAUCAUCUGAUAAUGAAGAAGAUACCGUAAACAAUGUUUCAGAAAAUUUAGAAUUUUUUCACAGUCUUCUCACAUUUCGAUCAUGAAGAAUUCUUGGUUUUUUUCGAACCUUGUCUCAUCAAAAACAUCAACUUUUAGAUCCUGAAUUAAUUACAUUUUAUGAAAAUCAUAUUAAAGUAACUUUAUAGCAAAGCGUUGAAAUUGCAAGUGGUAGUCAAAGAAACAGUAAAUGGUUAAGCGAACGUAAGAAAAGAUUGACAGCCUCAAAAGCUCGCAGUCAGUACUUAUAUUACGUCAAUCCCAACGCCAACUGGGACAAGAGAUACAAAAAUCUAUAUCACAGCACUUUUACUGGAAAUGAAGAUGCGCUUCGGGGCCUUCGCUGUGAAGAUCUUGCAGGAGAAAUAUACGAAAGUAUGUUCAAGUGCAAAAUUGUUAAAUCUGGUCUUUUAAUUCGACCUGAAUUACCAUGGCUUGGCGCUAGUCUGGAUGUUAUUAUAAUAGAUGAAAAUAAAAAA